AUGUCGCCGGCGGAGAUGGAGUCCCACAAGAUGGUUGAGGUGGAGGCGGCGGCGGAUCCUGAGGAGCGCACCGCCUCCGGUGACCCCAAGGCCUGCGACGACUGCAACACCACCAAGACGCCGCUCUGGCGCGGCGGACCCAACGGACCAAAGUCGCUGUGCAACGCGUGCGGGAUCCGGUACCGCAAGAGGCGGCGGGUGGCCAUGGGGCUCGACCCGGAGGCCAAGAGGAAGCCCAAGAGGGACGACGCCAUCCUAUCCAAGGCGGAGGCUUCUAGUACCAAGGAGGAGGAGGAGGAGGAGGACAACAAGGCCAGCACCAACAAGAUCAAGACCAAGACGACUACUCACACCGUGGAGCUCCACAUGGUGGGGUUCGCCAAGGACGCGGUGCUCAAGCAACGGCGCAGGAUGCGGAUGCGGCGGAGGAAGCCGUCGUGCCUGGGCGAGGAGGAGCGGGCCGCCAUCCUCCUCAUGUCCCUCUCCUCAGGCGUAAUAUACGCCUGA
rnacentral:rRNA from 1 species